UGGCAUAUCUCAAACUUUGAAAAAUUAUAAUGGCAUGGUUCUAAAUUACCCUUU
rnacentral:sRNA from 1 species